rnacentral:rRNA from 1 species
AUGUCUGAUGAUUUUCGUAGGGAGAGCAUAAGUGAUGAAGCAGUCGAGAAACUGGUGCUUGGAGAUAUUCAAGAUUUGUUAUAUUCCAUGGGAAAGGACAUCAAGACCUUUGAUCUUCCAAAUCUGUUGGAUGCUGAUGACCUAGAUAUCUUAGAUGCUAAAGAACUGACUGAAGAAAUGUCUAUUAAAGUUGCUAAAGAAGACCUGGAGCUGGAGGCAACUCUAAACAAUGAACAACAACUUGCUUUUGAUGAAAUAAUGGACCACGUGUUGCACAGGAAGGGUAAGGUCUUCUUCAUUGAUGGUCCAGGAGGUACAGGAAAGACGUACCUUUAUAAAGCUUUAUUGGCUAAAGUACGAUCCAUGGGGUUGAUAGCCAUUGCAACAGCAACAUCUGGCAUUGCAGCUUCUAUCAUGCCUGGUGGCCGGACUGCGCAUUCCAGAUUUAAAAUACCGAUC